rnacentral:rRNA from 1 species
CUCGUAGGCGGUUUGUCACGUCUGCUGUGAAAUCCCGAGGCUCAACCUCGGGCCUGCAGUGGGUACGGGCAGACUGGAGUGCGGUAGGGGAGAAUGGAAUUCCUGGUGUAGCGGUGGAAUGCGCAGAUAUCAGGAGGAACACCGAUGGCGAAGGCAGUUCUCUGGGCCGUAACUGACGCUGAGGAGCGAAAGCGUGGGAGCGAACA